CACAAUCGCAUAAGAAUGGUGUUGAUGAAUAUCUGUCAGAAAUAGAUAUGCAAUCCACAUGUAUACCAAGAAAUGGGAACUUAUUGGAAGCAGAGCUUUCAACGGGAGCUUUCAAUAGAAACAAAUCAACAAAAAAGGAAGAAAUUCAUCACUAUUUACAUAUUGGGAACCUGGUUGUUAAAUAACUUGAUCCUCAGUUUUAACGAUACCAGGGGCGUAAGUAUGCAUUUUACUGUGGUGGCUGUCAAAUUCAGCACUUUUGAUGUAAAGUGUGCCAAUUUUUUUGACCAGGAUUGAAAGUCAAAUUAAUUGUGAACGGUGAACUGAAUAUUUUCUUUUAUAGAAACAAUUUAAAGACAUUUCAUUGACAGCUCAGCUUGGAACUAGAUAUGCUGCGACGUGUCCGUUACCAUGACAGAGCCCUUUAAUCUCUCCACGUUCCUGCAACUAGUUCUUAUAGUCAUGUCAUUCUUCUUCUAUGUCUUGCAGGGAGUUAACUUUGUGCGUGGGCAGACUUUCGAUUAAACAGCAUGCACGUAGCUGCUGUGAUAUAAUUGUAAAAGGCAGAGUUUAAUUCUUCCAUUUAGAAACAAUUUAAAGAAUUAUAGUUCCAAUUGACCAUUUGCGUAAUAGACUAAAUUUUGAACUAAACAAGUCUACACAAAAAUUUCAUCACAGCUUGAAGGAGCA